rnacentral:rRNA from 1 species
UGGGGAAUAUUGCACAAUGGGCGAAAGCCUGAUGCAGCAACGCCGCGUGAGUGAUGAAGGCCUUCGGGUUGUAAAGCUCUGUCUUUUGGGACGAUAAUGACGGUACCAAAGGAGGAAGCCACGGCUAACUACGUGCCAGCAGCCGCGGUAAUACGUAGGUGGCAAGCGUUGUCCGGAUUUACUGGGCGUAAAGGAUGCGUAGGCGGAUUUUUAAGUGAGAUGUGAAAACCCUAAGCUUAACUUGGGGACUGCAUUUCAUACUGGAAAUCUAGAGUGCGGGAGAGGAGAAUGGAAUUCCUAGUGUAGCGGUGAAAUGCGUAGAGAUUAGGAAGAACACCAGUGGCGAAGGCGAUUCUCUGGACCGUAACUGACGCUGAGGCAUGAAAGCGUGGGUAGCAAACAGGAUUAGAUACCCUGGUAGUCCACGCCGUAAACGAUGAGUACUAGGUGUAGGAGGUAUCGACCCCUACUGUGCCGCAGUUAACACAAUAAGUACUCCGCCUGGGAAGUACGAUUGCAAGAUUAAAACUCAAAUGAAUUGACGGGGUCAUAGCUGUUUUCCU